rnacentral:misc_RNA from 1 species
GAUGAAGAACGCAGCGAAAUGCGAUAAGUAAUGUGAAUUGCAGAAUUCUGUGAAUCAUCGAAUCUUUGAACGCACCUUGCGCCUUUUGGUAUUCCGAAAGGCACACCUGUUUGAGCGUCAUGAAUACCUCAAUCUCCAUCUUUUCUUCGGAUUGAUGGGUGACUUGGAUGUUGAGCCCUGCUGGUAUGCUAUAUCAGCUGGCUUUAAACUUAUUAGCCGGCUCUGUACUGGAUCGGUUUGACUCGACGUGAUAAUAUUAUCGUUGAGGAUGCAUGUCUCAUGCAGCCGGAAAGUAUCAAAGCAGCUUCUAGCUUGCCUUUAGUGCACUUUUACAUUUUAGACCUCAGAUCAGGUGGGACUACCCGCUGAACUUAAGCAUAUCAAUAAGCGGAGGA